CCACCACCACCUCCCCACCUCUCUCUGCUUCUUGCUGGGCCAUUGAGCUCAGAGAACUGGCACUGGACAGACCAGGACAUGACAAGACAAGACAGCUCUGGCAGUCGAGCCCUCUGAGGAUUUCGACUGCAGAAGGAGUUCUGGAGCCCCCUCCGUCACUCAGACAGCCGGGCGGGUUUCUUGUCAGUUAUUAGCCAGAUUUUAGUUUGUCAGCCAGUAAAUCAGUCACUGGGGUCUCUUCCACUCUGUGAAUAUCCUCAUUUGAACUCUUAUGUGACUCAGACGCCGUCCUGGACCACCAGAGGACCGCCAGAGGGUACGGUCACAGGUGUUCCACAGCUGCUGUGAAAAAGAAGCAUCUGGAGUCCAAAAACAAUGUAACAGUGCGGAGGGCGGUAAAGGGCAGAGAGGUGGAGACCGGGCCCCUGGUCUCGCUGUUUUAGGGGAGGGUUCCUGGCACCGUGAUUUGAUGCACAAAGAGAAACAAAAAUCACAUUGCCAGGGAUUUCCACUCCUUCACAGCUCAGCAGGACGUCUGUCCCGACCUCACAUUUCCACCCAGGGACUCAUUUUGAGGCCCGAUUCUGGAGCAAUGGAGGAAUUAAACCAAAACGCUAUCAACCCAUCUCUGCAGACCUCUAAAAGAUUAAGUUGUGUCUGUGUGUAUUUAAGGCUGCAGCUGUUUGAAAUUUAAACUAUCCUCACCACUCUGUGCUCUAAUGUGCCAGGAAAUGGAUGUAAAUGCAAGCCAGAGCCACACAGGAGAAGGUUUAUAUUUCAAAUGUUGGAUUUUAGGGUUUAUAAACAAGAAAUUUAUUUGGAGAGCUAAGAUAAAAGUGGAGAUCCCUCCACUGCGCCCUCUGAACACUCUGCAGAAUCUGAAACCACUGACUUCACUGCCGACGUCUCACGUAAAGGUCUACAUAAAUCUCAGCCAGCCGCCCACUUGCUAAAGGCACAGAGCUUAGCUAAUUGGUGAGCAUUGAUCCCUGCAAUGUGUUGUUCACAGUGGCUAAGUUCAGUGCCCGAGGUGAAAUAGUUGAUUCAACGUGGAGGAUUUGUUCCGGUGGAUGGACUGAACUUGAUGAUCUCGGAUAAGCUGAAAGAAGAAGAGAAGGAGGAGUGAGAGGUCAGGAGGAGAUGAAAUGACGUGUACGGAGGAUAAGGUCACGAUUAUGGCCUGACGUGUGAUUUUUGAGCUUGUUGUGCAUGAAAGAAACUUAUGUCAUUAGAUCAGAUUAUUCUCAUAAACCGACCCAAAAAUCUGACCAUGUGACCCAUGUACAAUAAUUUAAAAUGCUAUAGGAACUUUACGCAAUUGGAAAAAAAUUUGAAGCAACCUCAUGACGUCUCUUCUGAUUUUAUGCCUGCAUUAACAGCAUUCAAACCUGGCAAAAAAAAAAAAAAAAAUCUUAAAUAUAUAUCUUCAUAAAUUGAAUAGAGUGUCCUUACUAAUUGAGAGCUUAAACGUUUAUUGUGACUGGAUAAGUCACUGCUUCUUCCUGCUCCUCUUCAAACAUAUUUUGUUUUUGAUUUUACAAAUUGUUUAUUUAUUUGUUGCUUUUUUUUUUUGCCUGCAUUUGUUUUACUGACGUUUUUAAGGAGGGAAGGAAGGAAAUACCAAUCCACUUCAAGAAAGAGACAAGUUGUAAUUGUAUUUAAGGCAGUUUUACUUUUCAAUUUAUAAAAAAAAUUAUCACAUUUUUA